UCUUUUGGUUCAUUUCUGUAUUCCAAAUUUUGCUAGUUGAGAUAAUGCAAGAUUCAUGUAUAAGUGGUACUUAACAAUCUUCCCUAGAAAAAGAAAAAUACUAAUGCAAUGAAAAUACCGUUUCUUGUAGGCUUCUUAUUCUCUCAUCAUUCUAUCUGUUUGAAGAUUUAAAGGUUCUAGCUCUGCCACUUCCUCACAGACCAUUAUUUCCAGGGGUUUAUAUGCCUAUUUAUGUAAAGAUAGGUUUAAGAGAUCGUCAAUAAGAGCACCAUUGAGGAUCUAUUCACGCUCAGCUUAUUGGUGAGUCCUCCCCUACAUUCGGAAGACACCACUUAUGUUAUUCUUGCAUUGAGUUAGUCCUUUUCAUUUUGAUUUGAGGUAGCCAUGAAUAUGUCAUUGGCACCAAUUGAAUAGUAGUGAUAGAGGCUUCAUAGACUAGACAGUGAUGGGUCGAUUGAGUAUUUUAUUUUCAUGAAUUGUUCUUGUCAGACUAUUUUAAUGACAAAGAUUUGAGUUUGAUUUGUUGGCCCAUGGCCUUUCUUUCUUGA